CAUGCAGUCGAACGGAAAGGCCCUUUCGGGGGUACUCGAGUGGCGAACGGGUGAGUAACACGUGGGUGAUCUGCCCUGCACUUUGGGAUAAGCCUGGGAAACUGGGUCUAAUACCGAAUAGGACUCCGGACUGCAUGGUCUGGGGUGGAAAGCUUUUGCGGUGUGGGAUGGGCCCGCGGCCUAUCAGCUUGUUGGUGGGGUGAUGGCCUACCAAGGCGACGACGGGUAGCCGGCCUGAGAGGGUGUCCGGCCACACUGGGACUGAGAUACGGCCCAGACUCCUACGGGAGGCAGCAGUGGGGAAUAUUGCACAAUGGGCGCAAGCCUGAUGCAGCGACKSMKSSWGSGRSRYSRCGKSSKKSRKGWYGYWWMSSKYKUWMRCYMKKSRCRRRRCGMRMGYRRYGRYRYMYSKRRRAGAAGCACCGSCCAACUACGUGCCAGCAGCCGCGGUAAUACGUAGGGUGCGAGCGUUGUCCGGAAUUACUGGGCGUAAAGAGCUCGUAGGUGGUUUGUCGCGUUGUUCGUGAAAACUCACAGCUUAACUGUGGGCGUGCGGGCGAUACGGGCAGACUGGAGUACUGCAGGGGAGACUGGAAUUCCUGGUGUAGCGGUGGAAUGCGCAGAUAUCAGGAGGAACACCGGUGGCGAAGGCGGGUCUCUGGGCAGUAACUGACGCUGAGGAGCGAAAGCGUGGGGAGCGAACAGGAUUAGAUACCCUGGUAGUCCACGCCGUAAACGGUGGGUACUAGGUGUGGGUUUCCUUCCUUGGGAUCCGUGCCGUAGCUAACGCAUUAAGUACCCCGCCUGGGGAGUACGGCCGCAAGGCUAAAACUCAAAGGAAUUGACGGGGGCCCGCACAAGCGGCGGAGCAUGUGGAUUAAUUCGAUGCAACGCGAAGAACCUUACCUGGGUUUGACAUGCACAGGACGCCGGCAGAGAUGUCGGUUCCCUUGUGGCCUGUGUGCAGGUGGUGCAUGGCUGUCGUCAGCUCGUGUCGUGAGAUGUUGRGUUAAGUCCCGCAACGAGCGCAACCYUUGUCUCAUGUUGCCAGCACGUUAUGGUGGGGACUCGUGAGAGACUGCCGGGGUCAACUCGGAGGAAGGUGGGGAUGACGUCAAGUCAUCAUGCCCCUUAUGUCCAGGGCUUCACACAUGCUACAAUGGCCGGUACAAAGGGCUGCGAUGCCGUGAGGUGGAGCGAAUCCUUUCAAAGCCGGUCUCAGUUCGGAUCGGGGUCUGCAACUCGACCCCGUGAAGUCGGAGUCGCUAGUAAUCGCAGAUCAGCAACGCUGCGGUGAAUACGUUCCCGGGCCUUGUACACACCGCCCGUCACGUCAUGAAAGUCGGUAACACCCGAAGCCGGUGGCCUAACCCUUGUGGAGGGAGCCGUCGAAGGUGAU
rnacentral:rRNA from 1 species